GAGUUUGAUCAUGGCUCAGAUUGAACGCUGGCGGCAGGCCUAACACAUGCAAGUCGAACGGUAACAGGAAGCAGCUUGCUGCUUCGCUGACGAGUGGCGGACGGGUGAGUAAUGUCUGGGAAGCUGCCUGAUGGAGGGGGAUAACUACUGGAAACGGUAGCUAAUACCGCAUAAUGUCGCAAGACCAAAGAGGGGGACCUUCGGGCCUCUUGCCAUCGGAUGUGCCCAGAUGGGAUUAGCUUGUUGGUGGGGUAACGGCUCACCAAGGCGACGAUCCCUAGCUGGUCUGAGAGGAUGACCAGCCACACUGGAACUGAGACACGGUCCAGACUCCCACGGGAGGCAGCAGUGGGGAAUAUUGCACAAUGGGCGCAAGCCUGAUGCAGCCAUGCCGCGUGUAUGAAGAAGGCCUUCGGGUUGUAAAGUACUUUCAGCGGGGAGGAAGGGAGUAAAGUUAAUACCUUUGCUCAUUGACGUUACCCGCAGAAGAAGCACCGGCUAACUCCGUGCCAGCAGCCGCGGUAAUACGGAGGGUGCAAGCGUUAAUCGGAAUUACUGGGCGUAAAGCGCACGCAGGCGGUUUGUUAAGUCAGAUGUGAAAUCCCCGGGCUCAACCUGGGAACUGCAUCUGAUACUGGCAAGCUUGAGUCUCGUAGAGGGGGGUAGAAUUCCAGGUGUAGCGGUGAAAUGCGUAGAGAUCUGGAGGAAUACCGGUGGCGAAGGCGGCCCCCUGGACGAAGACUGACGCUCAGGUGCGAAAGCGUGGGGAGCAAACAGGAUUAGAUACCCUGGUAGUCCACGCCGUAAACGAUGUCGACUUGGAGGUUGUGCCCUUGAGGCGUGGCUUCCGGAGCUAACGCGUUAAGUCGACCGCCUGGGGAGUACGGCCGCAAGGUUAAAACUCAAAUGAAUUGACGGGGGCCCGCACAAGCGGUGGAGCAUGUGGUUUAAUUCGAUGCAACGCGAAGAACCUUACCUGGUCUUGACAUCCACGGAAGUUUUCAGAGAUGAGAAUGUGCCUUCGGGAACCGUGAGACAGGUGCUGCAUGGCUGUCGUCAGCUCGUGUUGUGAAAUGUUGGGUUAAGUCCCGCAACGAGCGCAACCCUUAUCCUUUGUUGCCAGCGGUCCGGCCGGGAACUCAAAGGAGACUGCCAGUGAUAAACUGGAGGAAGGUGGGGAUGACGUCAAGUCAUCAUGGCCCUUACGACCAGGGCUACACACGUGCUACAAUGGCGCAUACAAAGAGAAGCGACCUCGCGAGAGCAAGCGGACCUCAUAAAGUGCGUCGUAGUCCGGAUUGGAGUCUGCAACUCGACUCCAUGAAGUCGGAAUCGCUAGUAAUCGUGGAUCAGAAUGCCACGGUGAAUACGUUCCCGGGCCUUGUACACACCGCCCGUCACACCAUGGGAGUGGGUUGCAAAAGAAGUAGGUAGCUUAACCUUCGGGAGGGCGCUUACCACUUUGUGAUUCAUGACUGGGGUGAAGUCU
rnacentral:rRNA from 1 species